UUACACGUUUGUGCCUAUGUAAGUAAGAAAUUUACAUUAAUAAAAUGUUGAGGUUUCUGUGCCCUCAUUGCUAUUAAUAACUGACAGAUGGGUAGCUCCUCCUUCUCUUCUUUAACUGGCAGGUCAGCAACAAGUGAAAAUGUUCAGUUUUGUGUCCCUCAGAGCAGCCAUGCCAUUUUCCCCUCUUUUGUUGCCCCAGGUUUCCAGCCUCACUUGAAGAGCAAAGCAACAGAACCAGACAUCACUCACUGACUUGACAGUACAGAUUUUUAAAGCUUUUCUUCUUCCCAGAAUUAUAUUUCAACUCUUGAAAAAUGAGUACCAUUGUAAGGUGGAUUUCCCUAAGGACCUGCAGGUGCAUGGAGGGGUUUCUUCUUCUACACUGCUUUUGGCUACAAAUGAAGUCUCAAGAUUCCUCCUUCCCUGCUAGCCCACAUAGUCUAAGAAAUGCGGUGAGCCCAAGACAAAUCUUUCCUUGAAAUAGAACCUUGAGAUUCAGGCCCACUGGCAACAGGAGAAGAAACUGGAUUUAGCAGGGAUUAAUUUCCAGACCCCUCCCUUUCCAUCAGCUUCAGAUUAGGAUGCAGAAUCCCUCACUUUGCAAAGCAAUGGGGACAAAUCAUAGAUGUCAGAUGGAUUCUUCCAGUGCUCUUCAUUGGGCAUUACCCAUUUACAAGAAUCUCCACUCAUAAGGAAGUCUACCAACCCCGAAGAGCUAGAAGAAUUGGAGAGUAGGGAGAACAGUGGUGCUGUCAUUUUAUUUUAUUAAAGGCACUGUAGACCUCUACCCAAAGAGAACAUUUUAAGGAAAUAGUUCUUGCCAAAAGUUCCAGGAGCAUACACCUUGUGCUCAGUCUCAGCUGAAUACUUGUUUGUAUGGUAGGUCCAGAUUUUCCGAAUUUUGAUUUUUAAUUAAAUU